rnacentral:rRNA from 1 species
GAUGAACGCUGGCGGCGUGCCUAACACAUGCAAGUCGAGCGAACGGACGAGAAGCUUGCUUCUUUGAUGUUAGCGGCGGGCGGGUGAGUAACACGUGGAUAACCUACCUAUAUGACUGGGAUAACUACGGAAAACCGUAGACAAUAACGGCUAAUAUUUUGUACCGCAUGGUUCAAAAGUGAAUGACGGCCUUGGUGUCUGUAAUAGCUGGAGCCGCGCUGCAUUAGCUAGUUGGUAAGGUAACGGCUUACCAAGGCGACGAUGCGUAGCCGACCUGAGAGGGUGAUCGGCCACACUGGAACUGAGACACGGUCCAGACUCCUACGGGAGGCAGCAGUAGGGAAUCUUCGGCAAUGGGCGAAAGCCUGACGCAGCAACGCCGCGUGAGUGAUGAAGGUCUUCGGAUCGUAAAGCUCUGUUAUUGGGGAAGAACAGAUGUGGAAGUAACUGUGCACAUCUUGACGGUACCUAAUCAGAAAGCCACGGCUAACUACGUG